rnacentral:rRNA from 1 species
UGAACGCUGGCGGCGUGCCUAAUACAUGCAAAUCGAGCGAACAGACGAGGAGCUUGCUCCUCUGACGUUAGCGGCGGACGGGUGAGUAACACGUGGAUAACCUACCUAUAAGACUGGGAUAACUUCGGGAAACCGGAGCUAAUACCGGAUAAUAUAUUGAACCGCAUGGUUCAAUAGUGAAAGACGGUUUUGCUGUCACUUAUAGAUGGAUCCGCGCUGCAUUAGCUAGUUGGUAAGGUAACGGCUUACCAAGGCAACGAUGCGUAGCCGACCUGAGAGGGUGAUCGGCCACACUGGAACUGAGACACGGUCCAGACUCCUACGGGAGGCAGCAGUAGGGAAUCUUCCGCAAUGGGCGAAAGCCUGACGGAGCAACGCCGCGUGAGUGAUGAAGGUCUUCGGAUCGUAAAACUCUGUUAUUAGGGAAGAACAAAUGUGUAAGUAACUAUGCACGUCUUGACGGUACCUAAUCAGAAAGCCACGGCUAACUACGUG